CAAUAGCGUAUAUUAAAGUUGUUGCAGUUAAAAAGCUCGUAGUUGGAUUUGUGGCGUAUGGUGUGUUCCGGGCACUUGUUGUCUGAGUAACUUGCCAUUGCCAUCCUUGGGUGGAACCUGUGUGGCAUUAGGUUGUCGUGCAGGGGAUGCCCAUCGUUUACUGUGAAAAAAUUAGAGUGUUCAAAGCAGGCUUAUGCCGUUGAAUAUAUUAGCAUGGAAUAAUAAGAUAGGACUUUUUUGCUAUUUUGUUGGUUUGCGCGAGAAGGUAAUGAUUAAUAGGGAUAGUUGGGGGUAUUCGUAUUCCAUUGUCAGAGGUGAAAUUCUUGGAUUUUUGGAAGACGAACUACUGCGAAAGCAUUUACCAAGGAUGUUUUCAUUA
rnacentral:rRNA from 1 species